ACGUUCUUGUGUUAUUUGUUGAUUGUGUUUUUUAUAAAAAUCAAUUAUUGUCAAAAAGAACGUAAAUUAAACUAAAACAACAACUCGUUAUUAUUGAAUCUGAAAUUUUAAGAUUAAAUAUAUUCCAUUUGUUGCUUACAAUU
rfam:Lucilia cuprina strain LS Scaffold369, whole genome shotgun sequence.